rnacentral:rRNA from 1 species
CGUGAGUGAUGAAGGCUUUCGGGUCGUAAAGCUCUGUCAAGUGGGAAGAACCUGCAGUAUGCUAAUAUCAUAUUGCACUGACGGUACCACUGAAGGAAGCACCGGCUAACUCCGUGCCAGCAGCCGCGGUAAUACGGGGGGUGCAAGCGUUAUUCGGAAUCAUUGGGCGUAAAGGGCACGUAGGCGGCCUGGUAAGUCAGAUGUGAAAGCCCGGGGCUUAACCCCGGAAGUGCAUUUGAUACUGUCAGGCUUGAGUAUGGGAGAGGGAAGUGGAAUUCCUGGUGUAGAGGUGAAAUUCGUAGAUAUCAGGAGGAACACCGGUGGCGAAGGCGACUUCCUGGACCAAUACUGACGCUGAGGUGCGAAGGCGUGGGUAGCAAACAGGAUUAGAUACCCUGGUAGUCCACGCAGUAAACGUUGCUCACUAGGUGUAGCGGGUAUUGACCCCUGCUGUGCCGCAGUUAACGCAUUAA